GGUGCAGUUAAGUAUUUAUCAAGUCGGUAUAUGAGUUAAGAUAGAAUUGAUCCCUUUAAAUUAGAAGAAGAUAUGUGUCCGUGUAUUUCAAUUUAGUAAAAUCUUGAUCAGAAUAAUCCAUGUGAUAGAUUUAAAAGGUUGAAAUACAAUAUUGUUGACUAUAUUAGGGUUGACAGUCAAACCCUAGGUUAUCUUGAGCAUUAGGAUCAAAGGGAUGAAUUAUACGGUAACUAUACGCUAGUAGGCUUUAGAAUGUUGCUUUGCAAUCUUUCGGCCUAUCCAGAUGUUGGGUCCCAUUGCUAGAUGGUUA
rnacentral:lncRNA from 1 species